GGAUUAGAUACCCUGGUAGUCCAUGCCGUAAACGCUGAGUGCUAGGUGUUAGGGGUUUCGAUACCCGUAGUGCCGAAGCUAACGCAUUAAGCACUCCGCCUGGGGAGUACGACCGCAAGGUUGAAACUCAAAGGAAUUGACGGGGGCCCGCACAAGCGGUGGAGCAUGUGGUUUAAUUCGACGCAACGCGAAGAACCUUACCAGAUCUUGACAUCUUCCGCUACGCCUCGAGAGAGGCGGUUCCCCUUCGGGGGACGGAAUGACAGGUGGUGCAUGGUUGUCGUCAGCUCGUGCCG
rnacentral:rRNA from 1 species